CGUAGGUGGCAAGCGUUGUCCGGAAUUAUUGGGCGUAAAGCGCGCGCAAGCGGUUCCUUAAGUCUGAUGUGAAAGCCCCCGGCUCAACCGGGGAAGGUCAUUGGAAACUGGGGAACUUGAGUGCAGAAGAGAAGAGCGGAAUUCCACGUGUAGCGGUGAAAUGCGUAGAGAUGUGGAGGAACACCAGUGGCGAAGGCGGCUCUUUGGUCUGUAACUGACGCUGAGGCGCGAAAGCGUGGGGAGCAAACAGGAUUAGAUACCCUGGUAGUCCACGCCGUAAACGAUGAGUGCUAAGUGUUAGAGGGUUUCCGCCCUUUAGUGCUGCAGCUAACGCAUUAAGCACUCCGCCUGGGGAGUACGGCCGCAAGGCUG
rnacentral:rRNA from 1 species